rnacentral:rRNA from 1 species
UACGGGGGGGGGCAAGCGUUGUUCGGAAUUACUGGGCGUAAAGGGCGCGCAGGCGGCCGCUCAAGUCAGAUGUGAAAGCCCCGGGCUCAACCUGGGAACUGCAUUUGAUACUGAGUGGCUAGAGUUCGGGAGAGGAGAGUGGAAUUCCCAGUGUAGAGGUGAAAUUCGUAGAUAUUGGGAAGAACACCGGUGGCGAAGGCGGCUCUCUGGACCGAUACUGACGCUGAGGCGCGAAAGCGUGGGGAGCAAACAGG